rnacentral:lncRNA from 1 species
GAAUCACUGAUGAAAAAGAUGAAGGAAAAUCCCCUUGAGCACAAGACCAUCAGUUCCUACACCAUGGAGGGAUACCUCUAUGUGCAGGAGAAACAUCACUUUGGAACUUCUUGGGUGAAGCACUACUGUAUGUAUAUAUAAAUGGGAUUCCAAACAAAUCACCAUGGUACCAUUUGACCAAAAGUCAGGAGGAAAUAGGGAGACUGUGAAUCAGUUACCCUCAAAUCCUGCACACGGAAGAAAACAGACUCCAUUGAGAAGAGGUUUUGCUUUGAUGUGGAAGCAGUAGACAGA